rnacentral:rRNA from 1 species
AUUGAACGCUGGCGGCAUGCCUUACACAUGCAAGUCGAACGGCAGCACGGGAGCAAUCCUGGUGGCGAGUGGCGAACGGGUGAGUAAUAUAUCGGAACGUGCCCGGCCGUGGGGAUAACGUAGCGAAAGCUACGCUAAUACCGCAUACGAUCUACGGAUGAAAGCGGGGGAUCGCAAGACCUCGCGCGAUUGGAGCGGCCGAUAUCAGAUUAGGUAGUUGGUGAGGUAAAGGCUCACCAAGCCGACGAUCUGUAGCUGGUCUGAGAGGACGACCAGCCACACUGGGACUGGGACACGGCCCAGACUCCUACGGGAGGCAGCAGUGGGGAAUUUUGGACAAUGGGCGGCAAGCCUGAUCCAGCAAUGCCGCGUGCAGGAUGAAGGCCUUCGGUUGG